rnacentral:rRNA from 1 species
GGAAGGGCGUACGGCGAAUGCCUUGCCACUCGAAACUGAAGAAGGACGCGCCAAACUGCGAAAAGCUCCGUGAAGCUGUAAGGAAGCGAAGAAGCGGAGGUGUCCGAAUGGGGGAACCCGGCAGCAGACAUGAGCUGUCAUCUGCAGGUGAAUACAUGGCCUGCAAGAGAGGUACCCGGCGAACUGAAACAUCUAAGUAGCCGGAGGAAAAGAAAACAACAGUGAUUCCCUGAGUAGCGGCGAGCGAAAGGGGAGAAGCCCAAACCGGUUGAAGGACCGGGGUUGAAGGACCAUGACAUGGCAAGAACGAGGAUAGGAGAACGGGAUCGAAAGCCCGGCCGAAGAAGGUGAAAGCCCUGUAACCGAAAUCCGAGUAAAGCCUAAUGGGAUCCUGAGUACGGCGAGACACGAGGAAUCUUGUCGGAAGCAGGCGGGACCAUCCGCCAAGGCUAAAUAUAAACGAGUGAGCGAUAGUGAACCAGUACCGUGAGGGAAAGGUGAAAAGAACCGCGGGAGCGGAGUGAAAGAGAACCUGAAACCGUAUGCCUACAAGAAGUCAGAGCCCGUUAAGGGGUGAUGGCGUGCCUUUUGUAGAAUGAACCGGCGAGUUGCGACAGACUGCGAGGUUAAGGAGGAAAGACCGGAGCCGAAGCGAAAGCGAGUCUUAAGAGGGCGAAAGUAGGAUGUUGCAGACCCGAAACCGGGUGAUCUAGCCAUGAGCAGGUUGAAGUUGAGGUGAAACUCAAUGGAGGACCGAACCGACUACCGUUGAAAAGUUAGCGGAUGACUUGUGGCUAGGGGAGAAAUUCCAAUCGAACCCGGAGAUAGCUGGUUCUCCCCGAAAUAGCUUUAGGGCUAGCGUCGGAAAGAACCUUAGUGAAGGUAGAGCACUGAAUGUGUGAUGGCCCCAUCCCGGGGUACUGAAUACAAUCAAACUGCGAAUGUCAUUAAGGAUGUCCGGCAGUCAGACUGUGAGUGAUAAGGUCCAUGGUCAAGAGGGAAACAGCCCAGACCGCCAGUUAAGGUCCCAAAAUACAGGCUAAGUGGAAAAGGAUGUGGGGAUGCCCAGACAACUAGGAGGUUGGCUCAGAAGCAGCCAUCCUUUAAAGAGUGCGUAACAGCUCACUAGUCGAGUGACCCUGCGCCGAAAAUGUACCGGGGCUAAGCCUGAUACCGAAACUGCGGAUUGUAGGAAACUAUAGUGGUAGGGGAGCGUUGUAUACGAGCAGAAGCCGUACCGUGAGGAGCGGUGGAUUGUAUAGAAGUGAGAAUGCCGGUGUGAGUAGCGAGAUGUAGGUGAGAAUCCUACACACCGAAAGCCCAAGGAUUCCAGGGGAAGGUUCGUCCGCCCUGGGUAAGUCGGGACCUAACGCGAGGCCGAAAGGCGUAGUGGAUGGAAAGCAGGCGAAAGAUUCCUGCACCCGUAUAUGGAGCGAAGGAGUGACGGAGACGGAUAGUGUGACCCUCUUAAUGGAUUGAGGGCGAAGCGAAGCGGCUGGUUACCAGGCAAAUCCGGUAACCAAAAGGCUAGAGCGUGACAGGUAAGCGAAAUCUUAGGAAAGUAGCGAAGCACAUGAUGACGGCUUCCAGGAAAAGCUUCUGGCAAUGCAUAUGCGGCCCGUACCAAAACCGACACAGGUGGGCAGGGAGAGAAUCCCGAGGUGAGCGAGAGAACUGUUGCCAAGGAACUCGGCAAAAUGACUCCGUAAGUUAGCGAGAAGGAGUGCUUAAGCAAUUAAGCCGCAGUGAAGAGGCCCAAGCGACUGUUUAACUAAAACACAGCUCUCUGCGAAGUCGCAAGACGAAGUAUAGGGGGUGACACCUGCCCGGUGCUGGAAGGUUAAGAGGAUCUGUUAAGAGCGAUCUGAAGCAGUGAUCCGAAGCCCCAGUGAACGGCGGCCGUAACUAUAACGGUCCUAAGGUAGCGAAAUUCCUUGUCAGGUAAGUUCUGACCCGCACGAAAGGUGUAACGAUUUGGGCGCUGUCUCGGCAGCAGACUCGGUGAAAUCUUAGUACCUGUGAAAAUGCAGGUUACCCGCAACUAGACGGAAAGACCCCAUGGAGCUUUACUGCAGCCUGAUAUUGAAUUCUGGUCAUACAUGUACAGGAUAGGUGGGAGACAAAGAGACGUGCACGCCAGUGUACGAGGAGUCGACGUUGGGAUACCACUCUUGUGUGACCGGGGUUCUAACCUGGUAUCGAGAACAGGUACGGGGAGAGUGUCAGGUGGGCAGUUUGACUGGGGCGGUCGCCUCCCAAAGAGUAACGGAGGCGCCCAAAGGUUCCCUCAGCGCGGCCGGAAAUCGCGCGAAGAGUGUAAAGGCAGAAGGGAGCUUGACUGAGAGCCAAACACGGCGAUCAGGUACGAAAGUAGGGCUUAGUGAUCCGGUGGCAUCCAAGUGGAAGGGCCAUCGCUCAACGGAUAAAAGCUACCCUGGGGAUAACAGGCUAAUCUCUCCCAAGAGUCCAUAUCGACGGGGAGGUUUGGCACCUCGAUGUCGGCUCAUCACAUCCUGGGGCUGAAGUCGGUCCCAAGGGUUGGGCUGUUCGCCCAUUAAAGUGGUACGUGAGCUGGGUUCAGAACGUCGUGAGACAGUUCGGUCCCUAUCCAUCGCGGGCGCAAGAGAUUUGAAGGGGGCUGCUCCUAGUACGAGAGGACCGGAGUGGACGAACCAAUGGUGUACCAAUUAUCUCGCCAGAGGUAUAGUUGGGUAGCUACGUUCGGAAAGGAUAAACGCUGAAAGCAUCUAAGCGUGAAACCAGCCUUAAGAUGAGAUCUCUCAUAGAGUAAUCUAGUAAGACACCUUGGAGAAGACGAGGUUGAUAGGUCGGGAGUGUAAGUACAGUAAUGUAUUCAGCGGACCGAUACUAAUAUGUCGAGGGCUUGACUU